rnacentral:lncRNA from 1 species
GCGCUCGGGCGGCGCUGUGCGGGAGGCGCGUGGGGCGGGUGGGGCCGGCCUCCGGCUGUGGCUCAGGGCUGGGGCGGGGGAUGCAGCUGCUGAGCGGACCUGCUGGGUCUGGGCGGUGUCCCGGAGAUGGCGAACAUGCGAGUCGCCGUGAGGGUCCGGCCUCUCAGCAACAAGGAGACCAAAGAUGGGGGAAGAAUUAUUGUGGAAGUUGAUGGCAAAGUGGCAAAAAUCAGAAAUUUAAAGGUAAGCUUGAAAUUGUUUUCCCUUUUGUUUCCACUGAGGCCCUACUAUUAUCAUUGGAUCUUUUGAGUGAAUGUGUUCAGAGUAGGAGAGUGAAAGAGUAAAGGGAGUAUAAGGGGAAUUGUGGGAAGAGUGUGGACCA